UUCAUUACUGGGUAACGCAAAUAUAAUUUGGAUGCAGCAGGCCAGUCAUUGGUGAGUCAAACUGUCUGCAAAAACGUCAGGAUAAUAUCGGCUCGCAGCUGGAAUGCAAGGUUGAUUCACGAAGAAGAGUUAGGAGGUAGAGGCAACGCUGAAGACACGCCAGUCGGACCGAUACGCACUGCACAUACAGCCAUGAAGGGGGAUAAUUUAUUUUCCAACCUGAGAAAAGCCACGUUCUACCAGCGGGUCUACCUACUGGGAGGAGAGGAGCUGCUGGUGCUGCAAAGCACUGUGGGAGUUUCCACGCUGGGUGAUAGCUUCCAUCAGAUCACCGACUUCAACGACCUACCCACCUCCCUAUUUGCCUGCAACGUGGACCAGUCCGUGUUUGAGGAGCAGGAUGGCAAACCGCCUCCAACAUCAUUUUGGAGAAUCUGGCAAUACGUCC